AUUUUUCUUUAAAUAAUAUUUUAUUCUUGCCCCAAUGACAUGUUAAAACAAUUUUUUAACAGAAUUUCAACUUAAAACUUCAAAAAACAUCCCCUUUCCUGAGGUGAUAAGGAAUACACGUAUACACACACACACAGAGGUUAUACAUGUGCAAUUGUGUGAAACAUUUCCAUAGUUGUCAUUUUGUACAGGAAGACUAAAAAAAUGAAAGAAAGUGAUACAGUAUCGGUUCUUUCUCUGGAGGAGGAGAUCGUGCUUCAUCAUGAGUCCUCUGGCAUUGUCUUGGAUCGUCGUAUGGCCGAGAGUAGGCUUCCUUCAAAUUGUGGUUGUGGACGUGCCAUUUCAUCCAUGAGAAACAGCAAAAAAACGUCACUUCAUUGACUUACAAGGAAACUUCCAAUCUUCUUUAAGGCUUCAGACUGGAACCAAGACCCCACUACACUCACAGCAUCAGAGCCACGCUGCUGCUGCUGCUUCUGAACUUCCUCUUCAGGCCACAACCCAAAGCCUGCAACCCCUCCUCACUCAGCCCUGGAUCUACGACCCAGAAAUGGAGCCUGAGCAACAGACCUGGUACUUGGCAGCCAUUUCUGCACCCUUCAUAAGGAAGCGGCAAGCAGGAGGAUUUAAAAAAAAAAAACCACAAAACCCUGCAUAGACUUACGUGAACGGACGGAAAGAGAAGUGAGCAGAAG